rnacentral:rRNA from 1 species
AUGCAAGUCGAGCGGAAACGAGUUAUCUGAACCUUCGGGGAACGAUAACGGCGUCGAGCGGCGGACGGGUGAGUAAUGCCUAGGAAAUUGCCCUGAUGUGGGGGAUAACCAUUGGAAACGAUGGCUAAUACCGCAUGAUGCCUACGGGCCAAAGAGGGGGACCUUCGGGCCUCUCGCGUCAGGAUAUGCCUAGGUGGGAUUAGCUAGUUGGUGAGGUAAGGGCUCACCAAGGCGACGAUCCCUAGCUGGUCUGAGAGGAUGAUCAGCCACACUGGAACUGAGACACGGUCCAGACUCCUACGGGAGGCAGCAGUGGGGAAUAUUGCACAAUGGGCGCAAGCCUGAUGCAGCCAUGCCGCGUGUUUGAAGAAGGCCUUCCGGUUGUUAAGCACUUUCAGUCGUGAGGAAGGCGGCGUCGUUUAUAGCG